UACGUAGGGUGCGAGCGUUAAUCGGAAUUACUGGGCGUAAAGCGUGCGCAGGCGGUUUUGUAAGCCAGAUGUGAAAUCCCCGGGCUCAACCUGGGAAUGGCAUUUGGGACUGCAAGGCUGGAGUGUGGCAGAGGGGACUAGAAUUCCUGGUGUAGCAGUGAAAUGCGUAGAUAUCAGGAGGAAUACCGAUGGCGAAGGCAGGUCCCUGGGUUAACACUGACGCUCAUGCACGAAAGCGUGGGGAGCAAACAGGAUUAGAAACCCCGGUAGU
rnacentral:rRNA from 1 species